GGAAACAACAGAGAAUGUUUAUUUGGAUGUACGAGUGAGUUGCGUUCCCUCGAUGAUCACAAUAUAGUUCAUUCGCGAACGUUACACGCAUGAAUUAAGAUAGAAUGGAUUAGUAACGAAAGCCAUAUUACCAGGCAUCCAGGAUGUUUAUUCAGGUUAGGAGUCUUGUUAGAUUAGUAUGUAUAAAAAUAAUAAGAGUGUAUCGAACGGUAACUACCUAUGUUCAUCAUAAUGUAGGCAGACUAGAUAACUGUCUACCAUCUGCACAUCUGUUAGUUAAUUUUAAGGCUAUUAUUUGUAAAAAUUAAAAUAAACUACAUAGUAUUUUAUGAAUGUAGUUGACUGAAAUCAAAAUAUUAAUUAUUACUGAUGAUUCUAACACGUUUAUAGAAGAGAACGCAAAUCAAUCUCAACUAACCUACAACGAUAUUGUAAAAAUAUUUUUCAAUUAUACAAAACAACAAAAAUGUGAUGAGUAUGAUCCUCCAAAAUCUCCAUACCAAUAUUGUUUUGAUCUCCGUAAUGAAGUAAAGUACUUCAAGUUUCUCGAUGAUUAUUUUAAAAGAAUGAAAAAUGCAGUCGCGGGAGAUUUGGCCAUUGAGACAUGGUGUGCAAAUCAAUUUUAUCCCAGAUACCAGAUUCACUAAAUAUAUAUUAGGCAUAUUAAAAGAUGUGUUUUCAAUAAAUAAUUGUAUUGUAAUUAUAUUUAAUCAUUGUAUUUUAAUAUAUAUAACAUUAACAAAAAAUUAAUGUUAAUUAAAAAAUUAUGUUAAGUUACAAAUCAACCAUAAAAUAAAUUUUUUAUAUUUCCAUGUGACAUAUGAAUCGUGUUAGUAUAGUAAAUAGUAUAUGCAUAACGGCAACAAGUUUUAAGUUACUAUAGAAAAUUAAUUUUAAUAUUUAUUUUUUUGAAUUCCAAUAAAUACUAAAACCUUUAUGUUUUUGUCUGUAUACAUACUUUUAUCAACAUUUAAAUUUCUAUAAAAAUAUUUUACAGUUUUAUAUUUUUAUGUGGAGUACUGAUUUUAUUACAUAAUAUUCCAUAAAAUUACAUAUUUUAAAUAAUAUUUAACAAUUAGCUAAAUAUUAAAAAUAAUAUGAUAAAUUUAAUUUGAUGUAAUACUUUUAGAGGCAAUUAAACGUAAUAUAGCAUUUUAUAUUUAGAUGCAGUCGAGGGAGAUUUGGCCAUCGAGAAAUGGUGUUUAAAUACAUUUUAUCCCAGAUUCCAGAUUUAAUAUAUAUAUAUAAGUCAUAUUAAAAUAUGUGUUUUCAAUAAAUAAUUGUAUUGUAAUUUUAUUUAAUCAAUUACCUUUCAUUGUAUUAAGUUUGUUGUAAGUUUAAAUGCCAACUGGUUACUGAUAAAUUAUAUAUAUUUUUUAUGAGUAUUCAGUUAUAUGAUAUUUAGAAUACGAAUUGAACAGCACUUAUUAACAUUUAUAUACAAAACAAAAGCUUGAUUAUUAGUUUAAAAAAUAUAAUAUAUAUAGGUAUACAUAACAUAACUCGUUUUUUGUUAUUUUAUAAAUAUGUGUACCACAAAAUUCAAUCCAUUAAAGUUAUUUAGUGAAUACUGAUAGCCAUCAUAAUAUAAAGUAUCAUUGUAAUUUGCUAUUAUUAUGUAAGGUAGUAAUAGGGUACUGUGGUGACUGUCUACCCUGAAGACUGUACCGUAUACCAAUGAAAUACGAAAACUAAACCUAUUUGCUAUUAUAUAUUUUAGAAGUUGUAACAGAAUCAGAAAAUGUAGUUUAUCGUAGUAGAUAGUCGAAUUUCACUUAUUACCUACAAAGAAAUGGUCGAAUUGAACUUGAAUUGAAAAAAAGGUAAUGGACGAAUUGCACUCGAGUAAAAAUCAGCUUGUGGUUGUACUGCACUCGUUCAAAAAAGAGUUAAAAUAGAAAAAAAACGUGAGAACUUGUUACGAAUCGAACGAGUACGUAUAUAGUGAAAACAAGUUAAAGAUAUUACAAAUCUUAUGCUUACGAACGCUACGGGCUACCUAUUUAAUAGCAUUAUAUAUUAGUUCGUUAAUGCCGUUUAAAUAACGCAGAUAAUUAUUGUCACCAC